UACAGAGGUGGCAAGCGUUGUUCGGAAUUACUGGGCGUAAAGGGCGCGUAGGCGGCCUCUUUAGUCAGACGUGAAAUCCCCCGGCUUAACCUGGGAACUGCGUCUGAUACUGGGAGGCUAGAGUUCGGGAGAGGGAUGUAGAAUUCCAGGUGUAGCGGUGAAAUGCGUAGAUAUCUGGAGGAAUACCGGUGGCGAAGGCGGCAUCCUGGACCGAAACUGACGCUGAUGCGCGAAAGCUAGGGGAGCAAACGGG
rnacentral:rRNA from 1 species